rnacentral:rRNA from 1 species
UAACACAUGCAGUCGAGCGCGAAAGGCCUUCGGGCUGAGUAGAGCGGCGGACGGGUGAGUAACGCGUAGGAAUCUACCUGGUAGUGGGGGACAACAUGGUGAAAACCAUGCUAAUACCGCAUACGCCCUAUGGGGGAAAGCGGGGGACCUUCGGGCCUCGCGCUAUCAGAUGAGCCUGCGUAGGAUUAGCUUGUUGGUGAGGUAAAGGCUCACCAAGGCGACGAUCCUUAGCUGGUCUGAGAGGAUGAUCAGCCACACUGGAACUGAGACACGGUCCAGACUCCUACGGGAGGCAGCAGUGGGGAAUAUUGCGCAAUGGGCGAAAGCCUGACGCAGCCAUGCCGCGUGUGUGAAGAAGGCCUUCGGGUUGUAAAGCACUUUCAAUUGGGAAGAAAGGUUGCGUGUUAAUAGCACGUAGCUGUGACGUUACCUUUAGAAGAAGCACCGGCUAACUCCGUGCCAGCAGCCGCGGUAAUACGGAGGGUGCGAGCGUUAAUCGGAAUUACUGGGCGUAAAGCGCGCGUAGGCGGUUUGUUAAGUCGGAUGUGAAAUCCCCGGGCUCAACCUGGGAAUGGCAUUCGAUACUGGCCGACUAGAGUACGAGAGAGGGAGGUAGAAUUCCACGUGUAGCGGUGAAAUGCGUAGAUAUGUGGAGGAAUACCGGUGGCGAAGGCGGCCUCCUGGCUCGAUACUGACGCUGAGGUGCGAAAGCGUGGGUAGCAAACAGGAUUAGAUACCCUGGUAGUCCACGCCGUAAACGAUGUCUACUAGCCGUUGGGAGACUUGAUUUCUUAGUGGCGCAGCUAACGCACUAAGUAGACCGCCUGGGGAGUACGGCCGCAAGGUUAAAACUCAAAUGAAUUGACGGGGGCCCGCACAAGCGGUGGAGCAUGUGGUUUAUUCGAUGCACGCGAAGAACCUUACCAGGUCUUGACAUCCUCGGAACUUGGCAGAGAUGCCUUGGUGCCUU